rnacentral:rRNA from 1 species
AAUGGACGUUGGCGGCGUGGAUUAGGCAUGCAAGUCGAGCGAGAAGCUUUUGAUUGAUCUUUCGAGUGAAGUCAAAGGUGGACAGCGGCGCAAGGGAGAGUAACGCGUAGAUUACGUACCCAGGGGUUUGGGAUAGCGGGGGGAAACCGCCGGUAAUACCAAAUAAUGUUUCCGAACCAAAGAUUUAUUGCCCUGGGAGCGGUCUGCGUCCUAUUAGUUUGUUGGUGGGGUAAAAGCCUACCAAGGCUAAGAUGGGUAGCGGGUGUGAGAGCAUGGCCCGUCUCACUGGGACUGAGACACUGCCCAGACGUCUACGGACGGCUGCAGUCGAGAAUCUUCCGCAAUGGACGAAAGUCUGACGGAGCGACGCCGCGUGCGGGAUGAAGGCCUUCGGGUUGUAACCCGCUGUCAGAGGGGAGCAAAUUUUGACCGAUCCUAAGAGGAAGCACAGGCUAAGUUCGUGCCAGCAGCCGCGGUAAUACGAACUGUGCGAACGUUAUUCGGAAUCACUGGGCUUAAAGGGUGCGUAGGCGGCUACAAAGGUCAGAUGUGAAAUCCCACGGCUCAACCGUGGAACUGCGUUUGAAACCGUGUAGCUUGAGGGAGUCAGAGGUAAGCGGAACUGAUGGUGGAGCGGUGAAAUGCGUUGAUAUCAUCAGGAACACCGGUGGCGAAAGCGGCUUACUGGGACUUUUCUGACGCUGAGGCACGAAAGCUAGGGGAGCGAACGGGAUUAGAUACCCCGGUAGUCCUGGCUGUAAACGAUCUGUACUAGUCUGUGGGGACCUCCACAUCCUCUCGGACGUAGCGAAAGUGUUAAGUACAGCGCCUGGGGAGUAUGGUCGCAAGGCUGAAACUCAAAGGAAUUGACGGGGGCUCACACAACCGGUGGAGGAUGUGGCUUAAUUCGAGUCUACGCGAAGAACCUUACCUAGACUUAACAUGCUUGGGAAUCUCUAUGAAAGUAGAGAGUGCCUUUCGGGGAGCCCUUGCGUAGGUGCUGCAUGGCUGUCGUCAGCUCGUGUCGUGAGAUGUCGGGUUAAGUCCCUUAACGAGCGAAACCCUUGUCACUAGUUGCCAGCGAGUCAUGUCGGGGACUCUAGUGAGACUGCCGGGUUAAACCGGAGGAAGGUGGGGAUGACGUCAAGUCCUCAUGGCCUUUAUGUCUAGGGCUGCACACGUCCUACAAUGCGGCGAACAAAGCGAUGCGAACUCGCGAGAGCAGC